UACGGGGGGGGCAAGCGUUGUUCGGAAUUACUGGGCGUAAAGGGCUUGUAGGCGGCCAAUUAAGUCCGACGUGAAAUCCCCAGGCUUAACCUGGGAACUGCGUCGGAUACUGGAUGGCUUGAAUUCGGGAGAGGGAUGCAGAAUUCCAGGUGUAGCGGUGAAAUGCGUAGAUAUCUGGAGGAAUACCGGUGGCGAAGGCGGCAUCCUGGACCGACAUUGACGCUGAUGAGCGAAAGCUAGGGGAGCAAACGGG
rnacentral:rRNA from 1 species